rnacentral:lncRNA from 1 species
AGGAGUUUGGUAAUAGAUCUACAAGUGAAAUUUUUUGGAUUUGUGAAUGUAGUUGUGUUUAAUGUGUGCAAAAAAUUUGAACUUAAUCGAAGUAUUGGAUUGAGGAUUAUUGAUGUUUAAGUGGAUAAAGAUCUCAAAAUUUAAGGUUUUGAUGACGUGUGAGAUUAUCUUAGAUAUCUGUCACUCUACUAGUUAGAUUGAGUCAAUUAUUUUUUAAAAAUGUAGCUAGCUUAAUUUCUAACAAGUAUGUAGAAUUUUAAGAUCAAUUAAAUUGUUUGAUAAGGAGAUAUUGUUGUUAGAAAAUCAAAAUUUAGAUUGAAGAAGGAGGCUGGCCAACAUUUGAGUAGAUUUUUGGAUUGAACUUCUUUUUGGUGAGUUCGAUCUUCUUCAAAAGAUUUUUGUUUGUUGUUAAUUUAAUUUUUAAGAGGUAUGAAAAUUUUGAGUUAAAAUCAACGGCUCAUUAAUUAGUUAUUGAGGUUUAUUCUACUAUAGGAAUUACUUGGAAUUAUUUAAGGUUUGGUUAGGGUUUAAUUUAGGAUUUAGAAUUUGAUUAGAGUUUAGUUUAGGAUUUAGAGUUUUGAUAAGAUUUGGUUUAGGAUUUAGGAUUUGAAUUAGGAUUUAGAGUUUGGUUAGAAUUUAGUUUAGGAUUUAGAGUUUGGUUAGAUUUUGGUUUAGGAUUUAAGAUUUGAUUAGAGUUUAAUUUAGGAUUUAGGAUUUGAUUAGGAUUUGAUUUAGAGUUUAGGAUUUAAGAUUUGGUUAGGAUUUGGUUUAGGAUUUAUGAUUUGAUUAGGAUUUGAUUUAGAGUUUAGGAUUUAGGAUUUGGAUAGGAUUUGAUUUAGGAUUUAGGAUUUGGAUUAAGGUUUAGGAUUUAGAUUAGGAUUUAGGAUUUGAUUAGGAUUUGAUAUAGAGUUUAGGAGUUGAUUAGAAUUUGAUUAGGAUUUUUUUAGGAUUUUUUUAGGAUUUGAUUUAGAGUUUAGGGAUUGAUUAGAAUUUUAUUAGGAUUUAUUUAGGAUUUAUUUAGGAUUUCAUGAGGAUUUAUUUAGGUUUUGACUAGGAUUUAAUUAAGUUUUUUAUUUUAAUAUUUUAUAAAGAUUUCUAUUUUAGUAUAUUUUAAAUUUCUAUGUUAUUUCUUUAUGAUUUCUUUAAAGGGUCUCUAGGAAUUCUUUGUAUUUCUAAUAUAAUUCUUUUUAAAAUUUUAAUGUUUGAUUAUAUUUUCUAAUUUUUAAUUGUAAUUGGUUUAAGAAUCUAUUAGAGUUGUUAGGACUGGUUGCAAUUUUCCUAUAUCUUCUAUAGCCAGGUGCCCGAUGCAUUUUCAAGCAAACCUUCACAUAAUAUGACAACACGUUCUAUAUCAACAUAUGCUUCAAAUUUUCAGCAAUUAGUAUUUGAUAUAAAUUGAAGGGAAGAUGUGUUGAUGAGCCAAUUUCAUUGGAGAUUAAGAGAUAAUGUCAAGGACUUAUUGUUGUCUAUGUGUGAUCCUCAAAUACUCAAUGAAGCCAUAAGUGAAGCUAUGAAGUACGAUAACUAUUUAUUUCAUCAAUGAUAAGAUAAACAUUCUUCAAUUACACCACAU